UCUAGGUGGGAGUCUUGGUUGAAAUUGGUUUGUUGGUGCAGAACCCAACAAUUUUUAGUUAGACGGAAAGACCCCGGGAGCUUUGACUUGUUCUUUAUCUGGGGCGGAGGCAUAUUUUUCAUGUGUUUUGAGAUCCUUUGUGGGUAAAAGAGUUAAGUUACCCCGGGGAUAACUAGGUAAGAGGCGAGGAGAGGUCUCAUCGAUUCGCCUGUUUGCCAUCUCGAUGUUGACUUGAGGGUAGUAGGGGGGUGUAGAGGCUCCCUUGUUUUGGUCUGUUCGACCUUGGUCCCUUUCAUGAGCUGAGUU
rnacentral:rRNA from 1 species